rnacentral:sRNA from 1 species
UUAAAAACUGUGUUAAACGACUUUUAAAA